AUUGAACGCUGGCGGCAUGCCUUACACAUGCAAGUCGAACGGCAGCACGGACUUCGGUCUGGUGGCGAGUGGCGAACGGGUGAGUAAUAUAUCGGAACAUACCUUGUAGUGGGGGAUAACUAUCCGAAAGGAUAGCUAAUACCGCAUACGCUCUAAGGAGGAAAGUGGGGGAUCGCAAGACCUCAUGCUAUAAGAGUGGCCGAUAUCUGAUUAGCUAGUUGGUGAGGUAAAGGCUCACCAAGGCAACGAUCAGUAGCUGGUCUGAGAGGACGACCUGCAUCGCUGGAACUGAGAAAGGGUCCAGACUCCUACGGGAGGCAGCAGUGGGGAAUUUUUGACAAUGGGGGCAACCCUGAUCCAGCAAUGCCGCGUGAGUGACGAAGGCCUUCGGGUUGUAAAGCUCUUUUGUCAGGGAAGAAACGGUUGUGGCUAAUAUCCAUGGCUAAUGACGGUACCUGAAGAAUAAGCACCGGCUAACUACGUGCCAGCCGCCGCCGUAA
rnacentral:rRNA from 1 species